rnacentral:RNase_P_RNA from 80 species
GAGGAUAGUGCCACAGAAAAAUACCGCCUUCGGGUAAGGGUGCAAAGGUGCGGUAAGAGCGCACCAGCAACGUCGUGAGGCGUUGGCUCGGUAAACCCCGGUUGGGAGCAAGGUCGGAGGAACUAGGGUUGGUCUUUUUCCCGUUCCGUGAAUAGUGGUACCGCUAGAGGUGUUUGGUAACAGACAUCCCAGAUAGAUAAUCGCCGUUGGUGUGCUAAUUUUAGCCACCGAUAACAGAACC